AGUGAACGCUGGCGGUAGGCCUAACACAUGCAAGUCGAACGGCAGCACAGUAAGAGCUUGCUCUUACCGGUGGCGAGUGGCGGACGGGAGAGGAAUACAUCGGAAUCUACUUUUUCGUGGGGGUUAACGUAGGGAAACUUACGCUAAUACAGCAGAUGAUCUUCGGGUGAAAGCAGGGGAUCUUCGGACCUUGCGCGAUUGAACGCGCCGAUGUCGGAUUAGCUAGUUGGCGGGUUAAAGGCCCACCCAGUCGACGAUCCGUAGCUGGUCUGAGAGGAUGAUCAGUCACACUGGAACGGAGACACGCACCAGACUCCUACGGGAGGGAGCAGUGGGGAAUAUUAGACAAUGGGCGGGAGCCUGAUCCAGCCAUACCGCGUGGGUGAAGAAGGCCUUCGGGUUGUAAAGCCCUUUUGUUGGGAAAGAAAAGCAGCAGGUUAAUACCACGCUGUUCUGACGGUACCCAAAGAAUAAGCACCGGCUAACUACGUG
rnacentral:rRNA from 1 species